AAAGGCGCGUAGGAAUUUAAAUUGGGCUCACCAAACAAGUCAGAGAAGGUACAAUAAGUACCGCUCCCCUAACCCCUACAGGGUAGGUGACACGGUAAUGUGCAAAGCACACCCGCAGAGUAAGGCCAUCGAUAAGCGAUCGGCAAAGUUAUCGUAUCGCUGGACUGGACCAUUACAGAUCCAACGGUUUCUAACCCCAGUGACUGUGAGUCUAGCCGACCCCAGUUCCGGAGAGUAUGUGACACGAGCGCACAUCUCCCACCUUAAGAAAGCGCAUCCGAAUUUAAAAUAGGAGCGAUUACUUUCUCUAAGCCUGGGCAUGCCAGAUAUAAAUAUAUGUAUGUAAGACUCAAUAAGGAGUUUAACUGAAGAAUACAAAACCUAGGUAGUAACAUUAAGUAACAAUAAAAAUCCAUGGUACUAGUUUGUAAGAAAACUUAAUAUAAGGUGUUAGUUUAAGUGGCCACUUAAGUUAAUAAUUUUAUUUAAGAUAAUGAAUUUAAUCAUGUUAGUCAUUAAGAAUGUGCACAUUAGUUCAUAAGAGUGUUUAAUAUUUUUUUGUGUUUUAGCAUGUAAGUAGUAGGAUACAGGCGAACCUGGUAACUCGUCCUACUGAAGUUUUUGGUUUCUUGUUUUUGCUUUCCCCUAAGCUCCGCUUUAACGCGGGGGAGUAUGUGCCGUGUAUUAAGUAUUUAGGCACGUUUUAUUUAAAAAUUUUGUAAUCUUAAAUAUUUUUGGAAAUAUUAUUAUUUUUUUUCUCUCAUCUUAUUUUCUUUACGGCCAGGCCCUCAGCCUCUGUUCUCAGAGGCGAGCUGUUUUUCUUUCCCAGCCUCAUGCUAGGCUAGCAUUCUGGCUAAUAUUUCUCCCGCCUCCAGGCACAUCGGAGCCGGUAACGUUAUUUCUUCGCGGGUCUCCUUUUGCUAAGAGCAGCUUGUGAAGCAGUGCUGAGCCCUGCUAACUCUGUCACGAAUCGGUAUAAGGUUCACUAGCAGCAAGACACGACAGGAGGAUCCCGUGGGCCUUGUGUCCCACAGACCAUGCGUUUUUUGAAGCCACCCCCCCGCCUGCUCACCCACCCUCUCUUCUCAGAAGUGGCUAGGAGCGACGACCGCUCGAGUGCGUUAACCGAAUUCAAGGCCAUCUCAGGCUUCACAGCCGCAGUUACGAUUCUGCACCUUAACGAUACCUAGCGACGGCUGUGGUAACUAAUGCCACUGGUGAGGCGUCGGCAGCGCCGACACUACCGCGCUCGCGCGGAGGUAACGACAACCUCUCCCCUCCUUAUGUCUCAGGCCGCUAGGUGGCACCACUGGUUACUCCAUUAACCCCCUAGCUUGACACUCUCGUCGGUCACUAGUCGAUUUAUUAGUACUUCCUCUCGCCACCAAAAGAUAGCGCCUCAGUCGCGCAGUCACUCCAGUAAGAUCUAAUUUUUUUAUGCCGGACACCUUCGGGUGGACUCGGUAAUUUUCGGCUCAGAGCCUACCCCCCCCUCCCAUUCUCUAGAGACCCCGCGCUUAUGAUAUUCUGGUGAUAUCGCGCUCUGAACUUACUUCGGUGCGCGCCUCCUGACUGACUGGUACCGUUUGUAUCUGCGAUCUUCUGCGAAUCAUCGACAUCGUAUAUUAUGUAGUCUUCUCAGACUAAAGGGAUGGAGUCCCUAGCUAAAAUUAUUAACCAGUCAGUAGUUUAGUUGAAAGUAGAGAAACUUAGUAUUUUUAUAUUAAUAAUUUUUUAAAUUAAUCAUGAUGACUUCCGUGGCUACCGCGAAUCGUGGUUCGAGUUUGCGGAGACGAGACGCCCUCUCCUGAGCGCCAGGACCAACACCCUGUUUUGACAGGGUUCCAAGUUUGGGGCAACCAAAAUCCUCUGCCAGAACCUCUGGAGUCGGUUCCUGCGCAGUAUCCAACAUCAUUAGGCCUACUACCUUGAUCACCGUCUACCUACAGCCCCGGGUGAUACCCGCAUAAUUCUAUCUUUUUAUUCACGAACCCAAGAUUAGUGUAACCCAGUUAAGACAGCGGACAGUAAAAGGCAGUUCGAGGAGAAGAAAUUUAUAUUAUGUUUUGGAAGGACUAUAUGUACAAACUUUAAAGUUACCAAUGUUAAUUUCAGUCUUGUUGUUAAAUAUUUUAAUUUUUGUUAUACAUUAAGGGCCGGCUCUAUCGUAAAUAACGUUAAGGAAUAUCAUAUAAUAAGUGUAAUUGUGAGUUAUGUAAAUAAGAUCACUUAUCAAUGAUAAACAGUCUUUACUAAGGAAAAUUUAAUCUAUCAAAAAAAAAGAACAAUGAUUAAUAAAAUAAGGAAGUCUAUAGACGUAACAGUUGUUUUUAUUUAUUUAAUAUAUAAUAACGAUCCUUUUACUCCCAAGUAUUCGUAGGGAGUCUCUAAAUUUUCUUUGUUUACUUCUAGUGUCGCCUCUGUUGUUGACUUUUAUAGUUAUUAGUUGAGGGCCUCAGUAAUCAAAGCUUCCAAAUCUUUUAACCUUAUUAUUUCAUUAUUCUUUAAGACACUUGGGGUAUUACACAACCAACCAAGACCAGCAGGCAGCUCUCUUUAUGAGAUUGUCAAACGUUAGGUGCACCUACUACUAAUUAGGAUUUUAGGAUUCAGGAAGUGUAACGCAACACUUCUGACAGCUGAGUGGUACUUGAGACUUAAUCUGUGGUAUUUGGUGUUGGGCGUUUAAGUAAGAGAGCGGACGAGAAAAUGGUGUGAAUUGUAGCAGCAGCUAGGACAUAAGAGUAUGAGUAGUGGCAAUAGUGAAGACAAAGUCUGAGUACACCCUCAGUAAACUGACAAUAUUUUCUGCGGUGUUGGAAAUAUUUUUUUUUGGGGAGUUGUGACAAAGUACUAAAACUUGCAGAUGUAAUUUAAUUAUGCCAUACUACUGGAGUUGGAUGAAAAGAAAAUUAAAUAUGUAAAUUGUUUGUAUCAAGAGCGAGUAAAGUACGCAGAGUCCUGCAUGGUACAGAAAGUGUUGGCUGUGAACUGUCUUGUGGUCAACUACAAGUUGCAGUGAUCGUUGCCCCGGCGCCGCAACUCUUCUGGAGGAUGCCUUCACUACUGGCGCUGAACAAGCCCUGGAGAGCUGUUGGGGCCGUGGUCUAGUAGUUGCCCCCUGGAUGUCGUGGAAUGAGUGCCGUACCUGGUGUUCACCUUGCGGUUGGAGAUCCAAGCGAGUUGAACGAGCAAGUCAGCGAGUUCUGGCGUGCACCGACUGCAUCAAGUUCCGCUUUCAUCGUCUGGGGAUUAAUUCUAGAACUGCUAAAACUUAAUUGCUUUAAGACUUGAGCAUUCCAGGCAGGGUCCCCACCUUGCAAACCAGCUUUAUUUUUUUCAGCAAUUUGGAGAAUGCUUGUGAACACUGAUAACUAUUGUAAAUAAUAUUGGAUCUGCAUUUUAGCAGAUAUUUUAAAUUUUUUUAAUGGUACCCAUUGUAUAUCUUAAUCUUAUUGUAUUUUCAAGUUGUGAUCAGUCUUUGUAUUAAUUGGAAAUUUACUGUUAAAACUCCCUUGUUGUUUCAUGUAGAGUUUGCAUAUACACAUACUUGAAAAUGCUAUCUCUUGGAAUAAUUAUGGCUCGGUCUCACAUGCCAUUUUGAUUUUUUCAUUUAUUCAUUAUUACUUUAGCUUUAACCAUUAAUAUUUGCCCUAGGUCUUAAACGUUUAAAAUAUAUUUAAAUAUUUUUGGCCACUUAAUAGUCAUGUAAAUGUAGUUUUGUUUUAACAAUGUGCCUAGCUGUCUUGGAGAACACAGCUAGUUUGGAGUCACACAACAGAGUAUGCAUAAGUGUGUUGUGUUUGCUUGUAUUGAGGCCCGUGAUUGAUGCCAUGUUAUUGUUCACGGAGUUGGCUCAUCAGACACAAAGUCCCUGUAACGAAGACGAGACUUAUCAGUCUUUACUAGCAGAAAGAGUUAUAACUUAUAAGGUGUGCCACAAAAAGGUUGAUUUUUUUUUGUAUACAAAAUCGUGUUGUCAAAACACGUUUUACUUCACUCAUGCUAACAUUCUUAGAUUCUUGUGCUCUGUUCCUAUUGAUAAUAAGGGUGAGGUAACAAAAUAACAUAUCUGAACUUGAGAUAACAACUGUAAUAAAACAUUCUACAUUCUUACACAAUGAGAUUUGAGUUUUUUUUGGAAAGCAUUCCAUAUUUCAAAUAAAAACUUAUUUAUAAAGUAUGUAAAUUUAUUUUUAUUAAAAAAAGAUACAGUAGAACCCUGUUAUAAUGUUUUUCAAGGGAGCAUACAAAAAAAACAUUAUAAGUAGGAAAACGUUAUAAGCAGGAAAUCUCAAUUUAGCACGUAACAAUGUUCGAGCUUUGUACCAAUGGACUCACCAAGCUAUGUAAACAUCUUUAAUGUUAAAACCAAAUAUAGUAUACUUGAUACGUGAAUUUUUUGUAACAAGCCAACAAUUUUUCAACUUCGUCUUGUUCCCUGGUUAAAUUUUGUUUGUCUUUAAAGAUACACUGCCACAUUUUGUCUCACAGUUUGUGAGACAAAAUUGUCUCACGAUUCAUGAUGACAACAUUAAGAUUGAGAACGUCUACUCCUUCGCCACCUGAAAAUGUUUAAUUUUGGGAUUCCUAAGUAUGAAAGAAAAAAAAAAAUUACUUGUAAGCAAUAGAAAACACUUUUAGUUAUGCCCUCGCUCAAUGGUUGGCAACUUAAAUAUCGUAGGACUAUGUACGUGCAUCUGAAUACCCAUUGGAAUGGCAAGGAAGAGAAGAGUGGACUAAGGGUGCCAACUGACACGUAAUUAUGAACAUUGUGUACCUUCAGUAUAUUGCAUAAAAUUGUAUUUUAACAAACUUCAUGUAUUGUAUGGCAGUGAUUGUAAACAUAAACAUACAUAAAGGAAAAUUUUGAUCGUAA